rnacentral:rRNA from 1 species
GAUGAACGCUGGCGGCGUGCCUAAUACAUGCAAGUCGAGCGAACGGACGAGAAGCUUGCUUCUCUGAUGUUAGCGGCGGACGGGUGAGUAACACGUGGAUAGCCUACCUAUAAGACUGGGAUAACUUCGGGAAACCGGAGCUAAUACCGGAUAAUAUUUUGAACCGCAUGGUUCAAAAGUGAAAGACGGUCUUGCUGUCACUUAUAGAUGGAUCCGCGCUGCAUUAGCUAGUUGGUAGGUAACGGCUUACCAAGGCAACGAUGCAUAGCCGACCUGAGAGGGUGAUCGGCCACACUGGAACUGAGACACGGUCCAGACUCCUACGGGAGGCAGCAGUAGGGAAUCUUCCGCAAUGGGCGAAAGCCUGACGGAGCAACGCCGCGUGAGUGAUGAAGGUCUUCGGAUCGUAAAACUCUGUUAUUAGGGAAGAACAUAUGUGUAAGUAACUGUGCACAUCUUGACGGUACCUAAUCAGAAAGCCACGGCUAACUACGUG